GAUCCUUAAUCUGUUAGAGAACCCCAAUAUCUUAUUUAUAGACUUUAGAAUCAAUUGGAGUCGGAUUAGAAAGUUUUCACGAUUUUAUACUGUGUACCGGUACAUGAAAGGCUGUCACCGGUUACACAAUGACGGAACAAAUUUGCGAAGCCAAAGUUGAUGGCUGUACCGGUACGGGGGCAAUUGCUGUACCGGUACACAGUGCAAUUUUCAGACAUUGCACUGUUUCGAGUUCCGCAGAGUUCCGAAGUACUUUCUAAUCAACUAAACAUUGAUAAUAAUGAUUCUAAUGCCUAUACCUAAGUAUGAAUCACCAUAAAAUGAAGUAAAGACUUUACCUUAGCAUCGUGAUUCAUGUCGUGAGUUAUUUCCGCCUUCUCCGAAGUCUUGGAUUCUUCGUUCUUCGACGAUAUGCUCCAAAACCUUCAAGACUCCGACUCAAUUCACGAAAUUUGCCAACACACAAGACUUAACACAACAAAGUUCCCAGUGGGUUCGGCCCCAACAUCACCGACUUUCCCACUAAGACAAACUCAAGCAUAAUAGAAAGGAUAAGCAGAAUAGUAACCCAACUAUAAUCAUAAUGCUAAUAUGCCUGAACAAUAAAGCAAGGAAUAUGCUCAAUGUAAAUCAUGCAAGUAUGCAAGUUUUUUUGUUCUUUACACUUUGUUCUUUAAGCUUUGUUCUUUGUUCUUUAAUCUCACGGCUAACCCGGGGGUUUCGCCAUAUUAACUUGCUCACAUUAAGUCCAUCGCGGGCCCUGAGCUGCCUCCCGCUAAGACCGUCCUCGGGUUUACUCCAACCCGUGAUGCAAAACUCCGGAGCGCAUCGCUCGAGGGGGAGCGACCGCCCUUGAGCACGGAACUCAUAGCAAGUUUGAUCGAUCCUUAACUCUAAGGAUAUAUAGUUCAAUCAUUGUCUUUACACUAACUUUAGUGUUCUUUACAUCACUUCAUUUUGCUAACUCUAGCAAUCAUUGUUCUUUAACUUUACUCAUUUUUUAUACCACUUUACAUUAUCUCUAUUCUUUGUUCUCAAAUGCCACACUUUACGUUAACUUUAGCCAUUGUCAUUGUCCUUUACAUCGCAUGGAUUAUUUGCCCCACACUAACUCUAGUGUCACAUUACUUUACACUAUCGAAUGCCACUCGAUCUAUGUCUCAUUGUGUCACUUUGUUCUUUUGCCUCACUUGGGUACUCACAUUUUAUCUCAUACAUACAUAUAGGGUUAAACAUUCAUAGGGGUUCUCAACCAUCUCAUUAGGCAAAUUGUACUCACAACAUGCAACAUUACAUUAUUCUCAUUACAUAUACCCUACGAUGCAUGCAACAAUGUAUAUAACAUAUGCUCAAUUGAAUGACACAUUAGGCAUAGAAGGAAGUUCAACGAGUUUGGAUAGCACCACCCACCUUGUUGGUUCUCAAAGGUGCUCCGAUGAUUUUUCUUGGGAUUUUUAGACACCCGGUUCGCUACCUGCGAGUUAACGAAGCCAAAUUAGGCUUAUUUGGUCAUAACUUUGUAUAGGCUUUUCGUUUGCUCCAACCAACCGCACCAACGCGUCGGAAAUACCCCCAAUUAGGUUUCUAGAGGGUCAAUUGCACUUUAGAAACAUCACGAGCAAAAGCCCCAAUUUGGGUGCCCUAGCUCUAUAGCAUAUAUCAAACCUAGGGUUUGAUUUCAUUGGGGAGCAAAAGAAGCUUCAAUCUACCCUAAGAACUCCAUAAAAACCAUCCUUGGCUUAAUCCAAACUCUAGUUUGGAUUCUGCCAUGAGAGGGAUUGAAGCUCUCCUUCAAGCUUCACCACCUCCACCCAAUCCAUGGUUUGAUCUCUAAAGGAAGCAAAAGAAAGCUUCAAAUACUCUAAGGGUUCUAAAAAAACCACUCUUAGCUUAAUCCAAACCCUAGUUUGGGUUCUACCAUGAUUAAGGUUCAAGCUUACCUCUAAGCUUGCUCCAAAGGGGAAGAAGGGGAGAUAGCUUCACUCCUUAGCUUCUUCUUCACCUUCUUUCUCCUUUUCUUCUUCUUCUUCUUUUCCUUCCUUUUCUUUGUCUUCUUCUUCUCCUUCUUGUCUUCUAGAGAGAGAAAGAGAGAAGAGAGGGAGUGUGAGGGAGAGAAUGAGAGAAAUAUCCCAAAACCCCUCACAAUAUAACCUAUAUAUUGCACUUUUGCAAAUAAACCCCUCAGCUUUCACCUUAUUGAACUGCCCAAACUGGGCAGAUUUCGGGCUCGGGGACCGGUCUCCCCGACUUGGGACAGGUCCCAGAGAGCUCUCCCACAGCUCAGCAGGGGCCUUCGCACGAGGCAACCGGUCUCUCCCAGGGAGACCGGUCUCUCGGGGACCGG
rnacentral:lncRNA from 1 species